rnacentral:lncRNA from 1 species
GCCACCAAAUCUGCAAACACUUUCUCUUACUAGUCUCCCAUCUCUAAAAUCCUUUCUCUCCUUAGCCUUAAACUUUUCAAUCUUCUAAGCCUUCAAAAUUCACAAAACCCAUACCAACUCCAUCAAAAUCAUCAACAAUCAAGUGGGUCUCAAUUUAUUUCAAGUAAGUUCCUUUUUUUCUUUAAUUUCAUCAGUUAUUUGAGGAAUUCAUCUUUGCUCGUAAGGGCAAUGAUUUGUUGAGAAUUGUUGAUGGAAUUUUCUGCUUUUUGAGCUAGUUGUUUCGAUUAAGUUAGUGGGCAUUUUGAAAUUAUUGAGAAAUCUUGAGUUAGGAAUGUGGAUUUGUUUAAGGACCAAUUUAAUUAACUUUUUGUACAAAUUACUAUUACUUGCAAUUAUUUAAGAAUUGAGAAGUUGAAUUAUUCCUAGUUGUGAUUGUGUGAUUGGGAAAUUGGAAAUAUUUUCUUUGCUUUGUUGGGUUGUUUUGCUUGGUUUUGUGUUGAGAAUUUUGCAAAAAAUUUGAUCAUGGCACCCAAUAGAUCAAGAAUUUUUACUGAUAGUUCUUUUGAUAAGACAUGAUUUGUGUCUCCUAAUGCUAUGAUAAGGCGCACUAGCUCUCUUUUUAAUAGGGUGCUAAUCCCAGAGAGAAGACUUGAUGUUGCCUUAAUUCGUCACCUUGGUAUUCAAGCUGAAAUUAAAGAGCAGAAUUGGAAAAAUUUUAUGCAAAUCCAGAAGUGGCUGUCAUCCCAUUGGUAAGGAAAUUCUAUGUAAAUUUACCUAAACAUACUAAUGGGUUUGUUUUUGUGUGAGGUAAACAAGUGCCAUUCCACAAUCAUGCCAUCAAUGAUUUCUAUGAAGUUUUGGUUAUUGAAAAUGAUGGCUAUGGGGAAUAUUGUAUGGAGCACCAAGAUUGGGAUAUGAUUAUUAUGAUACUCUGUGAAGAAAGGGCUCAAUGGAAAUUGUCAAAAAAUGAACUGGUUUCCUUUAAAAUAGGUGUCAUGAAGCUAACGACAAAGGUUUGGAGGUACUUUAUGGUAGCAAAGAUGCUUCCUACCUUAUAUGUUAAUGAUGUUACAAGGGAUAUAGCUGUUCUUGUGUAUGCCAUUGUGACUGGGAGAUCCAUCAAUAUUGGCCAAGUAAUCUACCAAGCCAUGAUCAAUACAACUAACACCAAAAGAGAUGGUUUGUGGUUCCCUUCAUUAAUCAUGGCUUUGUGUAAGAAAGUUGGUGUUCCAUGGGAUGCAAGUGAAGAAUUGCUACAUGCGAAAGUACUAAUUCAUGUUGGGUUGAUCUAUCAUUACUCUCAACCUUUCGUUGAUGGUUCUUCUUCUUCGACAGCACGUUCCCAAGCCCUUCGACUAAGAGCCUUGACCUUGACCUUGCCUUAAUGCAUUGAGUAGCUAGAGCUCCGGUUUCUUCAGUAAGCUUUCUACCAAGUCCAAUGCAAUCAACAAAUAGAGCAAAUGGUUAGAGCCUAUGGAAGUUUUAUGAGGAUAGACAUGGACAACUUCCCCACUUAGUGAAUCCUUCAACUAACUUGGGCAACAAUGGGGAGGAUGAAGAUGAAAAUGAUGAGGAGGAAGAUUAGAGCAUCUCUAAGAAGUCCUUCAACUACCAGGGGAGUAUUCUUUACCCUUUUCUUUAUUUACUAACAUUGAGGACAAUGUUGACUUCAAGUUUGAGAAUGGGGAAUUAAAUUUUUUUGAGAGUUGAAUUUUUUGGAAUUGAAAUUUAUUUAUUUACUUGCAUUUUUUAGGAUGGUUUAUUAUUUACUUUUUGUUUAUGCUUGUUUGAAAGUUUUAGAAUCUAGAGUAAAGUAGUGCCUAUUUUUUCGAUGAUUUUCUUAUCUAAUGAUGAGAACCUAGUUGUCUUGUAUCUUUAGCUUUUGAUAAAUGUGGAUAUUGUUUGGUUUGUGCUAAAUUUUUUUGCUAAGUAUCAUUGUAGGAUGUGAUUUCCAUAAAUUGAGCACUUUGUCUUCUGCUUUGAAUUACCAUGCAUAUCUAGAGAAGGUUUAUAUUAAUGUGAAUUUUGAAUUAUGUCAAGAAUUUUAGAAUUUGCGUGAUUCUCUCUUGAGGUGAAAUCCUAGGCAAUACUUAGUUAGGGAGAUGAUUUAAGUAAUCUUUUGGACCAUUUGAGCCUUUUAAGCCUACAUUAUUACAUUUUAUCCCUAGUAUAUCCCCUUGAGCCUAAUUUUCCCUUUUCUUUAUUUAACCACAUAAUAAUUGAGCUUAGCCUUUUAAAUAAAAUUCCAGUUUUGCAUCCCUCACUCCUAAGUAUAUAUAUCAUUUUAGGAAGUGUAUUGAGCUAGUUGUUGAAAAGGGUAGAAAAAGGUGAAGUCGUUGAAAAAAUUAAAAAAUUUCAAAAUUGGUGAUAAAAAACACCCCACUACCUACAAUACAAAGAAAUAAGUUUGGGGGUGUGAAAUUAUGAUAUAAAAGAAAAAGAAAAGAGAAGAAAAUGUUGAACAAAAGUAAAGUUCACAAAGGUUGUAUGUGGAGGUUACGAAUAAGAGCUCAAUAUAGGUCCUAGAACGAUUAUGUGCUUAGGGUGAUUUGAGCCACAUUAAUGACCUUUAUCCUACCUUGACCUUAGCCAUACAUUACAAACUUAACAAACACCUAUUGAUCCUUGACUUAGUAUUAGUCUACAUUAGUGGAGAGAGAGAUGAAAAGUAAACCUAUGGAGUUCGAGUACUAAUUUAAAAUUUUGCAUUGGCUAAACUCACACGGAUAAGUAUGAUAUGCUCUAUAAAAGAUUCAACACACAUGGAAAUCCAUUUGAGAAUGACCUUGCAUUUGAAUUGAAACAUGAAUUUGAAUGAUAUCUAUAUUAUAUCUUGAGUUGGAGAUGUAUAAAUAUACUUUUGAGGAAAUUAUGGAGAUAAUUGAAUUGGUGCUACUUAUCUCUAGUUAGUUUGUUAUUUAUGAUUGUUUUCAACAUUUUAAUUGCUUUCAUUUUAGUUUUUCUUUUAUGUUUUCCUUGAGGACUAGCAAAAUCUUAAGUUUGGGGUUGUGCUAACUCUAUAUUACAAAGUUAUUUUGUCAUAAUUUUGGGUAUUAAAGUAGCUAUGUCCUCGAGAUUUAAUUUAAAUAUUGAGUAUUUCAUUUAUUUAUUUUAAUUUGGUAAUUUAUGUAGAGUUCAUUUAAUUUAAGUUAUUUUAUGUUAUUUUGUUAUUUAGAUUACUUAUUACUUAAGAAUUGUUGUUUUUAUAGGAAACCAAUUCCAAUGGUGCCUAAUUUGUGAAGGAAAUAAAAUUAAGGUGUAGACUUCCACUACACAUGUUCUAGUAUUUUGUGCAUAUUGUUCACUACAGAAGUCCAAUUGACUUGGUUCUUUCACAAACGGAACACUAAGAGGUAGAGCUAUAACUUUUAUGUUUACCAAUUUGCCCAGUUCGGCCUUGAAGUUGGAGAAAAUUAUGUUGAAAGUUGGAACACGACAAUAGAGCCUAAAAACCAAGUCAGAGGUCUCGGUGCUGCGGCCACCACUAGCCAUCGCCACAGUGCUGAAGAGAAAAAGCAAAAAAAAAAAUAUUAAACAGGGGUAAAAGACUUCUUGUGCACUGGGACUUCUAUUUUGACAUAAUCAUGAACAUAUUUAAGCAUCCUUUCAGAGCACUUAUAGGGGAGGAAAAAAAAGCAAUAAUUAGAUAGUUUUUCACACUUCAAUCUAUGAGAUCGGUUGCUUACUUCUCAAGUAAGGAAUAUAGACUGUACCAGUCUCUAAGCAUCAUUGAUGUCCAAUCUCAAUGAUACAUUGAUCGGGAACAUUUAGAGAUUAUGCUUUGAUGCAUUAGGAUCUCAUUAUUAUAACACUUUACAAUUCCCCUACAAGGCACGUUAAUCUCAUGGACUUCAUCCAAUAGACUUAUAAAAUUGUUUUAUUGAUGAAAGAAAACCUCUAAUCAUUUAUCACAAUUGAUAUGGUUGCAUGAUUGGAUCUAAGCCUUGACCAAUCCAAUUGGUUGCAGGGCUUAAUCCAAUAGGUACAAGUCAAGGGGUUAGAGCUUUUGCACAAAUAUAACUAUUAAAUAACCAUGCAUGUAUGAGCUUUUUUAUGCACAUUUUUCCACUUUACAAAUAAAUAUAAAUC